GCUUAGCCAGUGCCCUAAACAGAGGCAUUCAGCCUCCGGAAAUAUUAAAGAUAGCAAAGUAUCGAAGGCGGGUGAAUGCCUCUGUUGAGGGCACUGGCU